rnacentral:sRNA from 1 species
UAGCUGGGACUACAGGCACUUGCCACCACGCCUGGCUGAUUUUUUGUAUUUUUAGUAGAGACAGGGUUUCACCGUGUUAGCCAGGGUGGUCUCGAUCUCCUGACCUCGUGAUCCGCCCACCUUGGCCUCUGGGCGAGGAUUACAGGCGUGAUCCACCUCACCUGGCCUCUCCAUCUUUUUAACUGCAGUGUCAGCGGUGUUCCUUGUCUUCUCUGCAGAUGCAGGCAGCAGGAUAUAGUGGUUAUAGGAACACAGGUGGAAACCCUGUCCAAAGCAAGGGCUAUCGGGUAUCACCUCUGACCAUCCUUCCCAUUCAUCCUCCAGGUCAAGUCUGGCACCAUCUUUGACAACUUCCUCAUCACCAACGAUGAGGCAUACGCUGAGGAGUUUGGCAACGAGACGUGGGGCGUAACAAAGGCAGCAGAGAAACAAAUGAAGGACAAACAGGACGAGGAGCAGAGGCUUAAGGAGGAGGAAGAAGACAAGAAACGCAAAGAGGAGGAGGAGGCAGAGGACAAGGAGGAUGAUGAGGACAAAGAUGAGGAUGAGGAGGACAAGGAGGAAGAUGAGGAGGAAGAUGUCCCCGGCCAGGCCAAGGACGAGCUGUAGAGAGGCCUGCCUCCAGGGCUGGACUGAGGCCUGAGCGCUCCUGCCGCAG